CUGUAGAUGGGAGUCACUAGGGACAGCACCGUCUCCCCCAGCUCCUCGCUAAAUAGGUGGGACACCACUACUUGAUCCCACCCCCUGCCAUCAACCAACGACUAAAGGGUAGGUCUCCAAUCCACUGAUCAUGCAAAAGGCUCACAAAACGUUCGUCCCCCACCACCCAACAUGUCUGAAGAAUCACAUCAGGAGUGUGG
rnacentral:lncRNA from 1 species